rnacentral:rRNA from 1 species
GCUUAAAGGGGCCGUAGCUUGAUAAUAGGGUCCCUUGAGAAAUCCGCCGGCUUAACUGGCGGGCGUUCAGGGGAAACUUGUUUUCUAGGGACCGGGAGAGGUGAGGGGUACUGCCGGGGUAGGAGUGAAAUCCUGUAAUCCCGGUGGGACCACCUAUGGCGAAGGCAUCUCACCAGAACGGGUCCGACAGUGAGGGACGAAAGCUGGGGGAGCAAACCGGAUUAGAUACCCGGGUAGUCCCAGCUGUAAACUAUGUGCGUUAGGUGUGUCAGUGACCACGUGUCACUGAGGUGCCGAAGGGAAACCGUGAAACGCGCCGCCUGGGGAGUACGGUCGCAAGGCUGAAACUUAAAGGAAUUGGCGGGGGAGCACCACAACGGGUGGAGCCUGCGGUUUAAUCGGACUCAACGCCGGGAAUCUCACCGGAUAAGACAGCUGAAUGAUAGUCGGGAUGAAGACUCUACUUGACUAGCUGAGAGGAGGUGCAUGGCCGUCGUCAGUUCGUACUGUGAAGCAUCCUGUUUAGUCAGGCAACGAGCGAGACCCACGCGAGCAGUUGCCAGCUUGACCUUCGGGUUGAUGGGGACACUGCUCGGACCGCCUCUGCUAAAGGGGAGGAAGGACUGGGCAACGGUAGGUCAGCAUGCCCCGAAUUAUCCGGGCUACACGCGGGCUACAAUGGACAGGACAAUGAGUUUCGACACCGAGAGGUGAGGAUAAUCUUCUAACCCUGUCCCAAGUUCGGAUUGCGGGUUGUAACUCACCCGCAUGAAGCUGGAAUCCGUAGUAAUCGCGUUUCAACAUACCGCGGUGAAUAUGUCCCUGCUCCUUGCACACACCGCCCGU